AUUGAACGCUGGCGGCAUGCCUAACACAUGCAAGUCGAACGGCAGCACAGCAGUAGCAAUACUGUGGGUGGCGAGUGGCGGACGGGUGAGGAAUACGUCGGAAUCUGCCCAGUCGUGGGGGAUAACUAGCCGAAAGGUUAGCUAAUACCGCAUACGACCGAGAGGUGAAAGCGGGGGACCGCAAGGCCUCGCGCGAUUGGAUGAGCCGACGUCGGAUUAGCUAGUUGGCGGGGUAAAGGCCCACCAAGGCGACGAUCCGUAGCUGGUCUGAGAGGAUGAUCAGCCACACUGGAACUGAGACACGGUCCAGACUCCUACGGGAGGCAGCAGUGGGGAAUAUUGGACAAUGGGCGCAAGCCUGAUCCAGCAAUGCCGCGUGUGUGAAGAAGGCCUUCGGUUGUAAG
rnacentral:rRNA from 1 species